CCUACGAGUGGCAGCAGUGAGGAAUAUUGGUCAAUGGCCGUAAGGCUGAACCAGCCAUGCCGCGUGAAGGUCAGUGCCCUAUGGGCGUUAAACUUCUUUUGUGCGGGAGCAAUAAUGGUCACGUGUGGCCAGACGAGAGUACCGUACGAAUAAGCAUCGGCUAACUCCGUUCCCGCAGCCGCGGUAAUACGGGGGAUGCCAGCGUUAUCCGGAUUUAUUGGGUUUAAAGGGUGCGUAGGGUGUGAGGUAAGUCAGCGGUGAAAUGCCCCUGCUCAACGGGGUGAAGUGCCAUGGAUACUGGCGUGCUGGAAUGCGGAUGCGGUGGGAGGAAUGUGUGGUGUAGCGGUGAAAUGCAUAGAUAUCACAAAGAACACCGAUUGCGAAGGCAGCUCACGAAUCCGCGAUUGACGCUGAUGCACGAAAGCGUGGGUAUCAAACAGGAUUAGAUACCCGUGUAGUC
rnacentral:rRNA from 1 species